rnacentral:lncRNA from 1 species
AAGCAGAGAAGAAAGAAAUGCACCGGUGUCUCUCCCUGAAUUAACCAGAAGGCUCACAGAGGCAAACGAGAGAAUAGCUGAGUUUCCAGAGAGUGUAAAGGCCUGGCCCUUUCCAGAUGUGCUGGAGUGCUGUCUCGUCUUACUUCACAUCGGGUCCCAGUGUCCUGGUGCUGUGAACCCUGAGAUGCAGCAACAGGCCCAGAAGCUCCUUCAGAAGUAUGGCCACACUAGAGCUUACAGAAGACACUGCCAGAUUCGACACACAUGAACUUCCAGAGGCCAUAAAGCUGUGCCACACAACCCAUGACAGCUCUCACCUCAGUCUCAGCUCACCAGGCCUUCACCCUGACCUUCGAUGGAAGGAGGCUGUGAUCCAACUGACAGAUGAGAGUGCAGCUUGAAUCCGCUCACACAAUGGAGCCUGCCUGGUGCCUCCCAAGUGGCUUCCUGUAGUGGAGGGAAAAGCCAGCAGGGUCACUAAGAACUAACCCCUGCCAAGACUGUCUCACGCCUUACAUGGUUUCCCCAAAGAGAAGCCUUUGUAUUUACCCAAAGUCUGUCUACCCCAGAUGCAGCUGCCUUUAUAAACCCUCACCAUCAGAA